rnacentral:rRNA from 1 species
UAAGAGGUCCCGCCUGCCCUGUGACUAUAAGUUUAACGGCCGCGGUAUUUUAACCGUGCGAAGGUAGCGCAAUCACUUGUCUUUUAAAUGAAGACCUGUAUGAAUGGCAUAACGAGGGCUUAGCUGUCUCCUUUUUCCAGUCAAUGAAAUUGAUCUCCCCGUGCAGAAGCGGGGAUAAAAACAUAAGACGAGAAGACCCUAUGGAGCUUUAGACACUAAAGUGGAUCACGUCCAUAAGCCAUAAACAAAGGCAUGAACCAAAUGAAACCCACCUUGAUGUCUUUGGUUGGGGCGACCGCGGGGAACUAAUUAACCCCCAUGUGGAAUGGGAAAACUCCUCCCACAGCUGAGAGUAACAACUCCAAUAAACAGAACUUCUGACCAAAAAGAUCCGGCAAUGCCGAUCAACGGACCUAGUUACCCUAGGGAUAACAGCGCAAUCCUCUUUUAGAGCCCAUAUCGACAAGGGGGUUUACGACCUCGAUGUUGGAUCAGGACAUCCUAAUGGUGCAGCCGCUAUUAAGGGUUCGUUUGUUCAACG